rnacentral:rRNA from 1 species
UACGGGGGGAGCAAGCGUUGUUCGGAUUUACUGGGCGUAAAGGGCGCGUAGGCGGUCAGCACAAGUCAGUUGUGAAAUCUCCGGGCUUAACUCGGAAAGGUCAACUGAUACUGUGCGACUAGAGUGCGGAAGGGGCAACUGGAAUUCUCGGUGUAGCGGUGAAAUGCGUAGAUAUCGGGAAGAACAUCGGUGGCGAAAGCGCUCUACUGGACCGCAACUGACACUCAGGGACGAAAGCUAGGGGAGCGAAUGGG